UACGGGGGGAGCAAGCGUUGUUCGGAUUUACUGGGCGUAAAGGGCGCGUAGGCGGUCAGCACAAGUCAGUUGUGAAAUCUCCGGGCUUAACUCGGAAAGGUCAACUGAUACUGUGCGACUAGAGUGCGGAAGGGGCAACUGGAAUUCUCGGUGUAGCGGUGAAAUGCGUAGAUAUCGAGAGGAACACCUGCGGCGAAGGCGGGUUGCUGGGCCGACACUGACGCUGACAGCGCGAAAGCUAGGGGAGCGAACGGG
rnacentral:rRNA from 1 species